rnacentral:rRNA from 1 species
CAAUAGCGUAUAUUUAAGUUGUUGUAGUUAAAAAGCUCGUAGUCGGAUUUUGGCUGAGAACGAUCGGUCCGCCGUUAGGUGUGCACUGAUUGGUCUCAGCUUCCUGGUGAGGAGGUGUGCUUCACGGCCACUUAGUCACCGUGGUUACUUUGAAAAAAUUAGAGUGUUCAAAGCGGGCUUACGCUUGAAUAUAUUAGCAUGGAAUAACACCAUAGGACUCCUGUCCUAUUUCGUUGGUCUCGGGACGGGAGUAAUGAUUAAGAGGAACAGUUGGGGGCAUUCGUAUUUCAUUGUCAGAGGUGAAAUUCUUGGAUUUAUGAAAGACGAACUUCUGCGAAAGCAUUUGCCAAGGAUGUUUUCAUUAA